CAGGUUUACCUGUGUGACUGCGUACCUUUUGUAUAAUGGGUCAGCGACUUAUAUUCUGUAGCAAGGUUAACCGAAUAGGGGAGCCGGAGGGAAACCGAGUCUUAAUUGGGCGUUAAGUUGCAGGGUAUAGACCCGAAACCCGGUGAUCUAGCCAUGGGCAGGUUGAAGGUUGGGUAACACUAACUGGAGGACCGAACCGACUAAUGUUGAAAAAUUAGCGGAUGACCUGUGGCUGGGGGUGAAAGGCCAAUCAAACCGGGAGAUAGCUGGUUCUCCCCGAAAGCUAUUUAGGUAGCGCCUCGUGAAUUCAUCUCCGGGGGUAGAGCACUGUUUCGGCUAGGGGGCCAUCCCGGCUUACCAACCCGAUGCAAACUGCGAAUACCGGAGAAUGUUAUCACGGGAGACACACGGCGGGUGCUAACGUCCGUCGUGAAGAGGGAAACAACCCAGACCGCCAGCUAAGGUCCCAAAGUCAUGGUUAAGUGGGAAACGAUGUGGGAAGGCCCAGACAGCCAGGAUGUUGGCUUAGAAGCAGCCAUCAUUUAAAGAAAGCGUAAUAGCUCACUGGUCGAGUCGGCCUGCGCGGAAGAUGUAACGGGGCUAAACCAUGCACCGAAGCUGCGGCAGCGACGUUUAUGCGUUGUUGGGUAGGGGAGCGUUCU
rnacentral:rRNA from 1 species